GUACAUCCAGAGAACUUAGCAGAGAUGCUUUGGUGCCUUCGGGAACUCUGAGACAGGUGCUGCAUGGCUGUCGUCAGCUCGUGUUGUGAAAUGUUGGGUUAAGUCCCGNAACGAGCGCAACCCUUAUCCUUUGUUGCCAGCGGUUCGGCCGGGAACUCAAAGGAGACUGCCGGUGAUAAACCGGAGGAAGGUGGGGAUGACGUCAAGUCAUCAUGGCCCUUACGGCCAGGGCUACACACGUGCUACAAUGGCGCAUACAAAGAGAAGCGACCUCGCGAGAGCAAGCGGACCUCAUAAAGUGCGUCGUAGUCCGGAUUGGAGUCUGCAACUCGACUCCAUGAAGUCGGAAUCGCUAGUAAUCGUAGAUCAGAAUGCUACGGUGAAUACGUUCCCGGGCCUUGUACACACCGCCCGUCUACACCAUGGGAGUGGGUUGCAAAAGAAGUAGGUAGCUUAACCUUCGGGAGGGCGCUUACCACUUUGUGAUUCAUGACUGGGGUGAAGUCGUAACAAGGUAGGCGUAGCGAG
rnacentral:rRNA from 1 species